AAUGGGUUUAUCUCUUUCAAGCCUCCUUCAGAGACACAGAAUUUGUCUCAGGUUGAUAAUCCUGAAAAUGAGUAUGACAAUGAAAAUGGUGUUGUUGAUUUGCAGUUUUUGAUAAAAGGUCUUGAAUUGGGUCGUGGUGAUGUUACAGCAUUGUUGUUUCUUGUUAGUUUGUUGUCAGCUGCUUAUGCUUAUGUGGUGUUGGUUUUUUUGGUUACUUACACUUGGAUUCAUGGGAUAAUUUUCUUGCAAGUGUUGGAUAAUGUGUUAGGGAAUUACAGGUCAAUUUUCAGGACUGCUUGGGAAGGUUCUAAUUUGGGGUUAAGAAGGCUUUCUGGGUUUGUUUUGAUGAGGUGGGCAGUAAAGGAUGCAUUAGCUCAAUUGUUGGGUAUUUGGGUUUUUGGAGAAAUUGAGGAUCAAUAUUCAUUUUUUAAGGUUUUUGUGAGGAUGAAAUUGAUGCCCUUUUCGGAUGUGGCGCCAUGGGUUACAGGGCAUGAGAAGGAAAGCUUGUGCUUUAUCAUCUCAUGGUUCUUGGUGGAGUUGGUAGUGGGGUUUAUUUUUCCUGUUGAUUCUUGGGUUUCUAUUGUGGACUCGAGGAAAAGUGGUAGG
rnacentral:misc_RNA from 1 species